GUCUUUAAUGCGCAUGUACAAAAUAUUUCACUUUAAUCAGUAGGUGGCGGUAAUGCGCCUAAAAGUUUAAUGCCAACCUUAAUAAUACAGCGAAGAAGUUGUUUUUCUCGUCUGCAAUUCUGGAUUAGCGUUUUCUCGAAAGGGAUAACUUCGAUUGCGAUGCAUGUUUAGGGAUACUGGAAGGCGUAACUUACAGAAAACAGUCACCAAGUACAGUCCAGCUAAGCCAGGAAACCGGACCAGAGAAUGAAUUGAUGCCAUCUGUUUGAACCACAGUGCUCAGGAGGAAGGCUUCCUUACUUGAGGACUGCUUCAGGAUGUAGAAGGAACAAUGUCACCUGGAGAUCCUGUGGCAGAUUAUGAUGGGAGUAGUCAAGGUUGAUGGCGAUGUGGCUGUCUUGAGGCUUGCACUCAAAUGCUAGAUGUUUAGGGACAUUGUCAGUGAGCCCAAAUUUAAAGAACAGGCUCACUUUUUGUGGCUUGACAACAACAGUUUUUGAUGCCCUACUGUCUGACUCAAUGCUUCCACUGUGGAGAAAUCUUCAAAGACUGUCCACCUGGCAAUGUUGGGGAAAAAAUAUUUACACAAGUUACAUAAUAAUAUACGAGCAUAUAUUUGACAUGACUUUAAUUCUCCUAUUCAUUAAAACUUGUAAGUAUACAAGUACUGUAUAGGUUUUGUCUUUAUUUCACUUGAUAGUACUUGAUGCUAGUAUUGCAUCCCUAAGUUGAUGUUUCGAAUUAAAGUGCAGUUCACCUCACAGAUCUUUCAUAUUACGAUGCUAAACAGGCUCUUUAAUAAGACUUAGGUCAGAUGAUGAUGGGGGUCACACAUUGUUUGAUUUCUUUCUUGUUUUAAUAAUUAAAAUAGUCAGUGAUGCUUUUUGCAGUAUGGGAUGGUAUAUUAUCCUCCAUGAAAGUAAAUUUAUUUCAGAAGACAUAAUUCCUUCUAUCUCAUAGUAAAAAAACCUAUGUUUUAGGAACUCUACAUAUCUUCUAGAUGUCCAUUUGACCCUCCCCCCCAAUGUCAUGUUUGAACAUAGUGGCUAUUCACCAAUAAUCCAGAAUGACAUUCAUCUAUACUAUUUACUGUAUUUUUGCAUGUCAAUAAAUAAAAUUGUUUAAAAAUA